GCUUCACACCACUGGAGCACCAUAGAGCCUCUUUUAGUGGACUCAUGAAAUCAUACAUAUAAGCAUUUACAACUGAAAUAAGUCAAUUCACAUCCCAGGAGGGUGUGAAGAAGAAAAAAGGAGAAAGAAACCAGGUGCUACUCUUCUAUAUUCUUCUGCUUUGACCAAAUUGACUUCUUCCUAAAGGAGAAAAAUCACUCUUUGUGCUCAGCUGUUUGAUUUGCUCCUCAGGGAGCUAUAAGCAUACCCAGUUUGGAAGUUUCAGAGUUAAGGGAUCAUGAGCAGAAUGAGUAUCUGGAUCCAUGAGCAGACCAUCCCUUUACAAAGGUCUCUUGAAUACUCAUGGUCAAGGAGUGGGAGAAGGCAAGAAAAUACGCAACAGACAUUCGCUUCCAACUUAAGUCUUCCUUGUUGUAAACAAGUCACAUGAAAUACUGCUGAUGAAAGUAACCAUGAGUCAGAAUACAGUGCUGUCAGCAAAGUCAUCCCUAAGAACAAACAAUAGCAAUAAACUAGCAACUUGAGAAAAUUUUGACA
rnacentral:lncRNA from 1 species